AAGAACAAAAUAAGAGUUUUAAUACCCAGUUAAAGGAAAAAUCCCUAAAACUAACAGAGUAAAAAAAAACCAAAAUUUCCUUCAAUACUCCCGCAAAACUGAAGUGGAACAAACCUCCCGACGCAGAUCUGCACCGCCGCUCCAUUGCAACGCCUUCCGACCGCUUCCUAGCCUCCGUUGAACGCCGUUUGUACCAUCGUUGCCUUCAAUUCGAUAUCGGUUGUGACGUUUAUCAGAUGAUCUGCAGUUGGGGUUUUUGUCCUGCAAAUGUGUUGGUGUUGUGAUGUUGUCUGCCUUAUAUGCUGCAGUCUAGGUAAAUUAGAAGGAGGGGGCGUGCACCAUAUUAGCCGUAGCUGAGUUCUUACCAUUACGGUUUCCAUGAGGAUGGUUUGAAGAUCUUUCUUUCAAACAUAUAUUCAUAUCCUUCCGUGUCAAUGGAAGAUAAAAAGAGCAGACCAAACAGAAGGGCAUUGCUUCCCAUUGAGCCUUUUCUGAUGGCCCUGGCUAGGAAAUUCAACCCUAGAGAAUAAAAUUUGUCGCAACAAAUCUGCCGUGAAGCUUUGUUUUGCUUCUAAAUCCUUGAGUUUCCAAAACCUUUCUGGCCUGCAGACAUGAGCACAUCCCCAACAGAAUCCCUCGCAACCAUCCCAUAUCCCGUAGCAUUUGUAGCUGCUGCAGCUUCAGUAUUGAGUUUAAAUAAACCAGUAGCUGGGUCUGUCCAUGUAUGAGCUUCACUGUGGGAAGGAGCACAUUCGUCUCGCUCUUUUGCGGCUUCAAAAUCGCCCAGGAGGUUCAUCAGCCUAUUACAAGCCAACACCAAAUCAACGCUCUUCCUCUCAAACACCCACAAACACCAAAAUGUUGGCUUAAUUAAGAGUUCAUGGAACUGUGAGGUCCUAAUUAAACCUUGACAUCAAAAAAUUUAGCUUAAAUUUAGGUGACCAUUAUAUCUUUGGAAAAAUUGAUGGAAAUAAGUCAACCUUUGUCCCAUUUAUUAAUAAUAAGUCUAACUUUUAAUUAUAUCUGGUUAAGUUAACCUUUUAUAUCCAUUUAUUUUUAACAAGUUGAUUAACCGGUAACCGGCUAAAUUAAUUGUGAACCGGUAAACUUUCACUUUCCACUCCCAAAAUGUGUCUGCGUGGCAUUAACUUGUGACAAAUACCCACCCACUUUACAAUUUGCUCACUUAUACAACAACAAAUAGAAAAAAUAAAAUAAAAUAAGAGCAUUCAGUAUUGUUUGUCGAUCGUCGUUUUCUGCCAUAGCCAAUAAGCUUCACCCACCUUGGCAUCUUCUUCUUCAUUGAUGUAAUCAUCGAGAAAAAGUGAUAGAGAUGCAACAAUAAAAGAUCAA